rnacentral:rRNA from 1 species
GUGGGGAAUAUUGCACAAUGGGCGCAAGCCUGAUGCAGCGAUGCCGCGUGAGGGAAGAAGGUUUUCGGAUUGUAAACCUCUGUCAUCGGGGACGAAAAUGACGGUACCCGAGAAGGAAGCUCCGGCUAACUACGUGCCAGCAGCCGCGGUAAUACGUAGGGAGCAAGCGUUAUCCGGAAUUACUGGGUGUAAAGGGAGUGUAGGCGGGACUGUAAGUCAGAUGUGAAAUAUGCCGGCUCAACUGGCAGACUGCAUUUGAAACUGCGGUUCUUGAGUGAAGUAGAGGUAAGCGGAAUUCCUAGUGUAGCGGUGAAAUGCGUAGAUAUUAGGAGGAACAUCAGUGGCGAAGGCGGCUUACUGGGCUUUAACUGACGCUGAGGCUCGAAAGCGUGGGGAGCAAACAGG